UACCCAUGAUCAUGCUGAAGUGAAAGUAAAAAUUCAUGGAGGGCCGAACCGACCUCCGUUGAAAAGGCGGCGGAUGAAUUGUGGGUAGCGGAGAAAUCCAAUCGAACUCGGAGAUAGCUGGUCUCCCCGAAAUAGCUUUAGGGCUAGCCUCAUGUUAGAUAUCCGGAGGUAAAGCACUGAAUGGCCUAGCGUCCGAGAGGAUAGCGAAGCCUAUCAAACUAAGAAUGCCGGAAUAUUGAUGCAUGGGAGUCAGACAGUGUGAGAUAAAUCUCAUUGUCAAAAGGGAAACAGCCCAGAUCUACAGCUAAGGUCCCAAAUUGUAUCUAAGUGGAAAACGAUGUGGAAAUACGCAGACAACCAGGAUGUUGGCUCAGAAGCAGCCACUCAUUUAAAGAGUGCGUAAUAGCUCACUGGUCGAGCGUCUCUGCGCGGAAAAUUUAACGGGGCUAAGAUACAAACCGAAGCUUAGGCUGCACUUUUAGUGCGGGGUAGGGGAGCGUUGUGUAAGCGGAGAAACGAUAGCGUAAGCGGUCGUGGAGUUUACAGAAGUGAGAAUGCCGGAAUGAGUAGCGCGAAUGAUGUGAGAAUCAUCAUGGCCGGAAACCUCAGGUUUUUGGAGGAAGGUUCGUCCGCUCCAAGUUAGGCGGGAGCUAAGGUGAGGCCGAAAGGCGUAGCCGAUGCACAGACGGUAGAGAUUCCGUCCCCACCGAAAGAUUUAAGCGCAGGGACACUUUUAGAAGGUCGGAGCCAGGUGUUGGUUCUGGUAGAGAUCGAGGGAAAAUUAGUACCGAAGUCCGGCUGGAUAAGAGGCGAGAAAAGCUGCGUGUAUAUCUAAGGUGCCCGUACCGCAAACCGACACAGGUAGGUAGGAAGAAGAUUCUAAGGCCAACGGGAGAAGGGUUGUUAAGGAACUCGGCAAGUUGACCCCGUAACUUCGGAAUAAGGGGUGCUCAUGAAAGUGAGCCGCAGAGAAUAGGCCCAGGCAACUGUUUACCAAAAACACAGGUUUGUGCUAAAUCGAAAGAUGACGUAUACGAGCUGACGCCUGCCCGGUGCUGGAAGGUUAAAAGGAGAUGUGCAAGCAUUGAAUUGAAGCCCCAGUGAACGGCGGCCGUAACUAUAACGGUCCUAAGGUAGCGAAAUUCCUUGUCAGGUAAGUUCUGACCCGCAUGAAAGGCGUAAUGAUCUGGGCACUGUCUCAACAGCCCGCCCGGCGAAAUUGUAGUACCGGUGAAGAUGCCGGUUACCCGCGACAAGACGGAAAGACCCCAUGGAGCUUUACUGUAGCCUAAUAUUGGGUUUCGGUGUUGCAUGCACAGGAUAGAUGGGACGCUAGGAAGUGAGUGCUUUGGCAUUCAUGGAGCGGCCGUUGGGAUACCAUCCUUGCGACAUUGGAAUUCUAACCUGCGCCUUUGAAUCAAGGCGGGGGACAUUGUUAGGUGGGCAGUUUGACUGGGGCGGUCGCCUCCUAAAGAGUAGCGGAGGCGUUCAAAGGUUGGCUCGUCCUGGACGGAAACCAGGAGAGAGAGUGCAAACGCAAAAGCCAGCCUGACUGCGAGACUGACGGGUCGAGCAGAGACGAAAGUCGGAGUUAGUGAUCCGGUGGUAUGUGAGUGGAAAUGCCAUCGCUCAACGGAUAAAAGUUACCCUGGGGAUAACAGGCUGAUCUCCCCCAAGAGUCCACAUCGACGGGGAGGUUUGGCACCUCGAUGUCGGCUCAUCGCAUCCUGGGGCUGUAUUCGGUCCCAAGGGUUUGGCUGUUCGCCAAUUAAAGCGGUACGCGAGCUGGGUUCAGAACGUCGUGAGACAGUUCGGUCCCUAUCUGUCGUGGGCGCAGGAUAUUUGAAAGGCGCUGUCCCUAGUACGAGAGGACCGGGAUGGACGAACCUCUGGUGCACCAGUUGUCACGCCAGUGGCACAGCUGGGCAGCUAUGUUCGGAUCGGAUAAACGCUGAAAGCAUCUAAGCGUGAAGCCGGCCUUAAGAUAAGAUAUCCCACUGAGACAAUCAGGUAAGACCCCUUGAAGACUACAAGGUUGAUAGGCACAAUGUGUAAGUGGCGCGAGUCAUUGAGCAAGCGUGUACUAAUAGGUCGAGGGCUUGACCC
rnacentral:rRNA from 1 species